GUCCCUCUAGGGACAUUUGAUAAAACUAAAAUGAUACAGAGAAAAUAAACAGAACCUUUGCACAAAAAUGAUACGUACAAAUUGUAUAAUGGUCCUAAUAAUG
rnacentral:snRNA from 1 species